rnacentral:lncRNA from 1 species
AGACGGGACAACGACCAGGGACAGCGAGCAGGAGUAUCAGUCAGCUGGUUGCUGCCGCUGCUACAACCGACCCAGCCACAGCUGGAAUACCCUCAACCUGGGCAGUGACUACUGUGCUCUACACAGUCAGCGGCUGAAGGGCAGUCUCGUGCCAGCCAUUGAAAAUGCUCAAGGCACACAUCCCUGCUGACCUUCCCCAAGACCAUGGAGAGGCAGCUGAGUCCUUAGUUUGAGGAAGACAGGAUAACAGCCUGUUCCCGCUGCUAGAGGCCAGUGAGAUGGAGAGGCUUGCAGAGGUCACUGAUCAAUGGAUCACAGACUCUCAAGCUCAGCAGUGGUGGCCCAGGACUUUAAUUCUAGGACUCAGAAGGCAGAGGCGGGCAGAGUUCGAGGCCAACCUGGUGGUCUACAGAGCAACGGGACAGCUGGGAGUAUGCAGUGAAACCCUACCUCGAAAAGACAAACAAACAAACGAAAUAUCAUAGAUUCUCCAUCUAUGACACCGCUUGACACCAUCGUGAGCAUUUUAAUUAGCACAGAGGUGAAGCGGAAGUGUGCUCCCUGGAGACAGGAGUUGGUGCCUGCUGCGAGGCCUCUGGGAGAUAGAGUUCUUUGGAGUCAAGAAUGCACGUGGACUAUCUGGGGAGGAAGCAAUGCUAGUGUGGAUAGACUCGUGUGAAGAACAGGAAAUAAAUGUCUUCUUUCUGGA